rnacentral:rRNA from 1 species
AGAGCGAACGCUGGCGGCAGGCUUAACACAUGCAAGUCGAGCGGAAAGGCCCUUCGGGGUACUCGAGCGGCGAACGGGUGAGUAACACGUGAGUAAUCUGCCCUUAGCUCUGGGAUAGCUCCGGGAAAACCGGGAUUAAUACCAGAUAUGACCACUUUAGACAUCUUUUGUGGUGGAAAGAAUUUCGGCUGGGGAUGAACUCGCGGCCUAUCAGCUUGUUGGUGAGGUAAUGGCUCACCAAGGCGACGACGGGUA